rnacentral:rRNA from 1 species
AGCAGAAUUAUAACCACUGCACGCAUUGUUGAUGCAGCCAAGUCAUGUUGUCUGAGUACUGAUGACCGCAUGUAUGCAAUGGAACCACUAAGUGAUGUUAACUCUAGAGGCUUGUUCUUCAAAAGGAUAUUUGGCUCUGAUGGUUGUUGUCCUGAUAUGCUCAAGGAAGUUUCAAAUGAAAUCCUAAAAAAGUGUGCAGGCCUACCAUUGGCAAUUGUCACUAUAUCUAGUUUGUUGGCAAACAGAUCAGCUACCAAGGAGGAGUGGGAGAAGGUUAAAAGGUCAUGUGGUUCUGCACUGGAAAAUAACCAAAGUCUAGAGGGAAUGAAUAGCAUACUAUCCCUUAGCUAUAAUGUUCUUCCACCUAAUCUCAAGACCUGUCUGUUGUAUUUAAGUGUAUUUCCUGAGGAUUGUGAGAUUGACAAAGAGAGGUUAGUGAGGAGAUGGAUAGCAGAAGGUUUUAUC